UCUCGGAGGUGAGACUAGAAAGCGAUGAGCCUGACUCCAGAAGCUGCACACCUCACGUCAGUCAGUCUCACUGCUUUAUAGUCACACCUCUCCCUCCAC
rnacentral:miRNA from 1 species